AUUAGGCAGCAACCAUUUGAUUUUCUGGGGGGGGGGCUAUGGUUUUUUUUUCUGGACAAAUUUUUUUUUUCGCCUCCGGCGAAAAACAAUCUAUUUUUUUCGCGACAAGUCAAAAACAAUUUUUUUCUUUCAAUUUUAGCAUUACAUAUAGUGGCAGCUGAGGGUGAAACAAACAAUUUUUUUUUCUCAGAAUCAAAAACAAAUUAUUUUUUUCUCCAAAAACUGGAAACAAACUUUUUUUUCCAAAAAAAACCAUAGCCCCCCCCCAGAAAAUCAAAUGGUUGCUGCCUUACUGUUUAAG
rnacentral:lncRNA from 1 species